GGACCCGCACAAGCAGUGGAGCAUGUGGUUUAAUUCGAUGCAACGCGAAGAACCUUACCAGGGUUUGACAUCCUGCGAACCUCUUGGAAACAGGAGAGUGCCUUCGGGAACGCAGUGACAGGUGGUGCAUGGCUGUCGUCAGCUCGUGUCGUGAGAUGUUGGGUUAAGUCCCGCAACGAGCGCAACCCACGUCUUUAGUUGCCAGCAUUUAGUUGGGCACUCUAGAGAGACUGCCGGUGAUAAACCGGAGGAAGGUGUGGAUGACGUCAAGUCAUCAUGCCCCUUACAUCCUGGGCUACACACGUACUACAAUGCUACGGACAAAGGGCAGCAAGUUCGCGAGGACAAGCAAAUCCCAUAAACCGUGGCUCAGUUCAGAUCGUAGGCUGCAACUCGCCUACGUGAAGGCGGAAUCGCUAGUAAUCGCAGGUC
rnacentral:rRNA from 1 species